rnacentral:antisense_RNA from 1 species
CUUUAUGGCAGCUGUACGUGGGAGAUCUUCGGAUCUGCCGGGUUGAUCUGGAUACCGGUUCGCCAACCCGCGUACAGCGGCCACCUGU